rnacentral:lncRNA from 1 species
CGCCUCCUGCUUCUCCCCACCCCACCCCACCCCCUCUCUCCUGGAAGCCUGGGGACAACCCAGCAUCAGCCCAGGCAGGAGAAGGAGGAGACUACUCAAAGAACACCCCACCCCUCCGUAUUUGUCUCUCCCCCUCCCCCGGGUAACCUACACUGAAACACACUGACGUGUGGAAGAAGAGGAGGAGGGGCCCUGGGACCAGGGAGAGGGAGGAGAGAUCAGGCAGGGGAGGGAUUAGCCAAUCCUACAAAAGUUUAGCAUUGCAGGACAGGAAUCUUGACCAAUUGGGAUUUAGAACCCCCCCUUUUCGCCCCGCCUACUCCUCCACGUCUAUCCAGUGUCUCCAGGAUAGCCAAAGAACCACCUCCCCGCACAGACACACACACACAAGACAUCCACACAUACAUACGUACAUAAACACACAUACAUGUCCCAAACCUAGAAGAAGGGAUGAAAAAUACGUGAUCCAUUGAGGAAGUGGGACACGGAAGAGGAAAGGAUUCAAACCCCCCAGGGAGUUGGUCGGAGGGUUAAGGGAGAGACGGGCGUGACAAUCUGGAGGGAGAGUAAAAGCCAACUAGGGGAUAAGAGGCGGGACUUCCUGCUUUGUCCACCUUCCUAGUCUUUUGUUUCGUAGCAACAGAGGGUGGGAGGUUGUGAGUGGCACUUGAGCCUAGGUUAGAGUGGAAAACGCUGCAGAAAUGCUUACUGAGGCAGUCAGGACACUUCUUGCUUUAGUCCUGGGUCUGAGGCGUUAGUUUUGUAGUGGUCAGUGUGAGGAAGAGAUGGAGCUGGAGUGGGACCCACAUCUGGGGAUACCAGCUGGGAUGAAGGACUGCUUCUGGGAAUGGAGGAAGAAAGGGAGAAAAGAACACUAUUCAGUUGACUUGCCCCCAGCCUACUUGAUGAAGUCACAAAAGAUAGUAGAUAAUGGAAAAUCAAACAAGAUAAGGCCUUAAACUAAGUUCUUUAAUUUCUGUAUGACAUUUAGGAGUUAUGAUGAAGUUCUUCCCAUCAAAAGUGAUAAAAUUAUAGAACUUUGAGCCAUUGACUGAUAAAAGAUUUGUCUCACUCCUUGUGAUAAUUUAAAAACCAAAACUUUCUCUAAGGAGUGACCACAUUAUUUUAAAGCAAAGAAUUCAGAAGACUGAAUUGGCUGAAUCUACUAUGAAGCAGAUUAAUAUUAUUCUUAGAAAAUACCCCUUUGCCCCCAAAAAACUAAAUUUGAAAAAAAAAUAUUAAAAGUCAGAUCUGAAGAGCCAAAGGUUCAUUCUCAGGCACUCUAGAUUCCUAAAGACAAUCAACUUUCCAAUACUUAAAUACCCUAGCC